rfam:Myotis brandtii contig184820, whole genome shotgun sequence.
AGAGGCCCUCCGCGGCUGGGGUGGAACGCUUGCCUUGUCACAGCGGCAAUGAAGCAAGCGUUCUGCCAGGCCACUCACGCUGCCUGC